GAUGAACGCUGGCGGUGUGCCUAAUACAUGCAAGUCGAGCGAAAACACGAUAAGCGUUCGCUCCUAAGGGUGGCGGGUGGCGGGCGAGUAAGACGUACAUAACCUUCUUAUAUUACUUGGGGAACUACGGGAGACCAGAUAUAAUACUGGAGAAUACAUUCUACGGGUGGAUUCAGUAGUUAAUGACAGCUUUGCUGUUACUUAGAGACGAAGUCGCAUUAGCUAGUUGGGUGGGUAAAGGCACACCAAGGCGACGAUCCGUAGCUGGUCUGAGAGGAUGAGCAGCCACACUGGAACUGAGACACGGUCCAGACUCCUACGGGAGGCAGCAGUGGGGAAUAUUGGACAAUGGGCGCAAGCCUGAUCCAGCCAUACCGCGUGGGUGAAGAAGGCCUUCGGGUUGUAAAGCCCUUUUGUUGGGAAAGAAAAGCAGCAGGUUAAUACCCCGCUGUUCUGACGGUACCCAAAGAAUAAGCACCGGCUAACUUCGUG
rnacentral:rRNA from 1 species